UUUUCAAAUCAAAAUUGCUACAUGAAAUCUGACAAAGGGCAUUCCUUUUGUAAUCCCCAUUCAAAUUAUAUUUUCUUUUUUUUUUUUUUUUAAUUUGAGGCUGUUUUAGGAAAUCCAGAUUAUUUCACCUCCAUAGUCAGGACACUAAAGACCUCUUUGUCUGAUCACAUAAAAACCAAUUGUGAUUCAAUCAUCUUGAGAUCAUCAGCAAUGAGUCAGUUCCCAAAAAUAUCUCACAGGGGCAAGGUGUUUUAUUUUGUUUUGUUGGAGAAAAAAAGGAAGCUCUGAAUAUAGAGUUGGGCUAUCAUUCUCUUCAAAUAUCAUGAUUGCAACUCCUGCCUUCUUUCUAUCAGUUGAGGCCCCGAAGGUCUUACUCCAUCCUUUAAUUAUGACCUUGUGGAUAUCUACCCACCUCAUGUGUGUUUCUUGAAGACAACAUAUGCUGCCACAAGCUCUCAGUUCAAUACCCAGAAGACCCUGGAAUAAGAGAACAAGCUAUUCUGGGAUCUCCCUGACCAUUGGUUAUAGUUAGCAGGACUCCAAACUUGUAAAAGCCCCAGGUGAGUUCUUGGUAACCUCCUCUGGGUUAAGGGAGGUGGGCUGGAGGGGGGAGUUCUAAUCCUUCUCCCCAGGGUCAUUCUUCAGUUACAUUCAAUUUCAUGGCAAUAGUAUCCUAAAGCAUUAAAGGAAUACUAUAGGAUCUUCACCAGGCCUCAGUGCCUAUAGUUCAAGUGUGACUCCCCAUGUUCUGUCAGUGUUUUCUAGCAUAAGCUCUCCAGCUUAUAUUUCUUUUCCAUUUUAUCCUAAAAUAAUCAGUAGUUAUUCACCAGCUGGUUACUCCAGCAUGACAGGGUUGCUGAAGAGGUACUUGUGCUGAGAACUGUUCUCUUCUUCAUUUCUUCAAGAUGCAUUAGGAGAGAUACUUUCAUAUCCCCCUUCAUACACUGCAAAAAAGAGAAACUUAUCUCAUUAAGAAACGGUAUUUUCCCUAAGUAUCCUAAUAAUUCAAU
rnacentral:lncRNA from 1 species